rnacentral:lncRNA from 1 species
UGAAGGUAUCAUGAUAUCAUCGGGUUGAAGAAAUGGCCUAUCCUUGGCACAAACUCAUUUUCCAUCUCCUCAUCUACUUCUUCUCUUUCCUCUUCUUCACCUCCGGCGCAUUUUAGCCUCUUCCCGCAGCUCCGAAUUGAAACAAAUUGAAAUAAAAAUACCUGAAGAUUUUAUGUAUAAUCACUAUUAACGGGAGAUUACUUAAUCUCUAGAGUUACAAGGGAGUCAUAACAUAUCAGUCAUAACAUAUUCCUUUUACAUUUUUUUUUAUAAAUUUUCUUUUGAGUGCAUACUUGAGUUAACAUUAAACAAUUGCUACCAUAUUGAGCAGGUACUGAAAUCUGAGCAUAAAGUAAUGCGCAAGAAACCAAUAAAUAUCUCUAUUUUGAUACAUGGACCUUUGAGAUUAUAUAUACUUGUAGCAAAUUUACAGAACAGAAAUUAUACCAACUCGCGAACAGAAAUUUGACAAUUUGCCUUCAAGAACAAAAAUUCAAGCGUGGGGCAUUUACAGAACAAAAUUUGACAAUUAUACAGAACAGAAAUUAUACCGUGAAUUCAAUGGGAACCCGAGUAUCAAUUCGGUGUGGUAAUAGAGAUCAAUAUAAUCCGGGCUGCCGGAAUAAUACCUUUCCGAGUAGGUUUCCGAGUAGGAUUUCUUUGGUAUGAUACACGUCGGAGGUGACGCCACUGUAGAUGGCGUGGUGGAUGAGUUGGAUCAUAUCGGAGUCGGAGCUGAUACUUCCAUGACUUGUGAACUUCUAGGUACUUUCUUUGUGCUCUGGAUCGUACAUUAGGGGCUGGGUAAUAACAGAGAGAGAUAGAGGAAUUCGAAGCGCUCUGGAUCGUACAUUAGGGGCUGGGUAAGAACAGAGAAAGAGAGGAAUUCGAAGCCAAAUUUCUGUGUGUCAGAAGAGAGAGAGAGAGGUAGAGGGUUUGAAUAGCAUUUGGAAUUUGAAUAAUGGGGAAUGAGAGUUGCGGACGUGGAACUUUGAUGGGACGUUUA